UACGUAGGUGACUAGCGUUGUCCGGAUUUACUGGGCGUAAAGAGCGCGCAGGCGGUCGUUCAAGUCGAGUGUGAAAGCCCCCGGCUCAACUGGGGAGGGUCAUUCGAUACUGAUCGACUCGAAGGCAGGAGAGGGAAGCGGAAUUCCCGGUGUAGUGGUGAAAUGCGUAGAUAUCGGGAGGAACACCAGUGGCGAAGGCGGCUUCCUGGCCUGUUCUUGGCGCUGAGGCGCGAAAGCUAGGGGAGCAAACGGG
rnacentral:rRNA from 1 species